CUGGUGAAUAGCCUUCGAAAGGAGAUUAAUACACCGUAACAUAACGAAAAGGCAUCUUUUUGUUAUUAUAGGCUUCGGCCGGUUUUGGAUGGGCGUGCGCCUGAUUAGGUAGUUGGCGGGGUAACGGCCCACCAAGCCUGCGAUCAGUAACUGGUGUGAGAGCACGACCAGUCACACGGGCACUGAGACACGGGCCCGACUCCUACGGGAGGCAGCAGUAAGGAAUAUUGGUCAAUGGACGAAAGUCUGAACCAGCCAUGCCGCGUGAAGGAUUAAGGCCCUCUGGGUUGUAAACUUCUUUUAUCUGGGACGAAAAAAGGGCUUUCUAGCUCACUUGACGGUACCAGAGGAAUAAGCACCGGCUAACUCCGUG
rnacentral:rRNA from 1 species